rnacentral:rRNA from 1 species
AGAAUCAACGCUGGCGGCGUGCCUAACACAUGCAAGUCGCACGAGAAAGGGACUUCGGUCUUGAGUAAAGUGGCGCACGGGUGAGUAACACGUGACUAAUCUACCCUCGAGUGGGGAAUAACUGAGAGAAAUCUUAGCUAAUACCGCAUAACACUUACGAGUCAAAGCAGCAAUGCGCUUGGGGAGGAGGUCGCGGCCGAUUAGCUAGUUGGCGGGGUAAUGGCCCACCAAGGCGAUGAUCGGUAUCCGGCCUGAGAGGGCGCACGGACACACUGGAACUGAAACACGGUCCAGACUCCUACGGGAGGCAGCAGUGGGGAAUUUUGCGCAAUGGGGGAAACCCUGACGCAGCAACGCCGCGUGGAGGAUGAAGUAUCUUGGUACGUAAACUCCUUUCGAUGGGGAAGAUAAUGACGGUACCCAUAGAAGAAGCCCGGCUAACUUCGCGCCAGAGCCGC